rnacentral:piRNA from 1 species
UUCUAUGUAAGAAGGGGACAACAUAGG